rfam:Triticum aestivum genome assembly, contig: Triticum_aestivum_CS42_TGACv1_scaffold_438210_5DL
CUUGUACUCCCUCCGUCCGAAAAUACUUGUCAUUGAAAUGGAUGUAUCUAGAUGUAUUUUAGUUCUAACACAUCCAUUUUGAUGACAAGUAAUUCCGGACGGAGGGAGUACUUG